rnacentral:rRNA from 1 species
CCUACGGGUGGCUGCAGUGAGGAAUAUUGGUCAAUGGGCGCGAGCCUGAACCAGCCAAGUAGCGUGAAGGAUGACUGCCCUACGGGUUGUAAACUUCUUUUAUAAAGGAAUAAAGUGAGGCACGUGUGCCUUUUUGUAUGUACUUUAUGAAUAAGGAUCGGCUAACUCCGUGCCAGCAGCCGCGGUAAUACGGAGGAUCCGAGCGUUAUCCGGAUUUAUUGGGUUUAAAGGGAGCGUAGAUGGGUUGUUAAGUCAGUUGUGAAAGUUUGCGGCUCAACCGUAAAAUUGCAAUUGAUACUGGCAGCCUUGAGUACAGUUGAGGUAGGCGGAAUUCGUGGUGUAGCGGUGAAAUGCAUAGAUAUCACGCAGAACCCCGAUUGCGAAGGCAGCCUUCCGGCGCCCUACUGACGCUGAGGCACGAAAGUGCGGGGAUCGAACAGGAUUAGAUACCCGGGUAGUC